rnacentral:lncRNA from 1 species
CUGACCUUGUGAUCCACCCGCCUCGGCCUCCCAAAGUGCUGGGAUUACAGGCGUGAGCCACCGUGCCCAGCCAGGUGUUCUUUUUAAUAUCCGAACAUGUCUGCAUCAUUCUUCUGCUUAUAAGUCUCUAAGGACUUCCCUUUAGGCCAAGUCCAAGUUCCUUAGUCUGACAUGGAGGGCCCACUCCCACUGGGGCUCUCUCAGCCCUGCCUGUAGAUGGCAAAUAUUUCUUUCAGAUCUUUAAAAUGUCAGAGUCUCAGUUAAUCUUUCCUCAAUCGGACAAGAGAAGGCCUCAGAGAAAGCCCUCUUCUGCCUGCAUCAGUGCAGAUUCUCUGCAGAUGCAAAUCUCCCCCACAAAAGACAGUUCUGCAGGGUGACUUCUAUUCAUUGGCUCUCUGAACAGCCACCUCAAAAUAUGCCAAAGAAGUAUAUUUCGGGGUGAAAUAUUUUUAUUUCCUUCAGUCCUCACUUUGAAACUUGAAAAAGUUUCACAUCUGAAAAGCUAAAUUGAUAGCUUUGCAGAGAUUUGGGUGAUAGGCUGCAGAGAUAAAGAUAGGCAAAGGAGUGGAAAAAAACAAAUUGGGAUAAGCAAAAACGGGCAAAUUUAAAUAUAUCAUUCCGUGUCUUCUUGAAUCAGUCUCUUAGUCCUAAGAAUAAAUCAGUUCAGUUAAACAGCUGUGUCCCAUUCAGGAGGUGGCAUUGCAGAUGGGCUAGGCCUUUAGAGAUGACGCAGGCAAACAGACAGAUCUUUAAUAAGAGGCACAAAAUGUAAAUUUUGACCAAGGACAUAUUAUUUUGUACAACGGGGCUGAUAGCAACCUUGCAAGGAGGUCACAUGUCAUUCUGUAACUGAAAGCUAAAGAAGGAGAAUCACAACAGCAUUGGCUGAGUCCCCUAAAUUUCCAGAAAGUUGAUUAUUUUUUAGGUCAGCAAGAGGAAGGGAAUAAUCCCGUGACCAGAGAACCUAAAGAGAAUACAAAUAAGAAUGAAGAAGGUUAUAAAACACAGAAAACUUAGCAAAGACCUCUAGUGUCCUCCAAAAGAGUUGCGUGGCUGGAUGAGGGCCUUAGCUAUCUCUUAAUUCUCUUUCAUUCCACCUAACCAGGGAACCACAAGUCCUGCAUGAUAGUGAAAUGAUUGAGCUGUACCUGGAAGGUGAACAGCAGUAGAUACUCUGGUGGAAGCAUCAGGGUGUAGACAGAGCUCUUACAAGGGUGGCCUGAGCCACAGAGAGUGUGUCGUGGGUUCUGGGAGUAUAGGGAGGACAGCCUUACCUUCCCAGCCUGCUUUGAAGUUGGCUUCCUCUGCCCCUAGGCUGGAAGCUUCUUGAUGGUAAGACUGUGUCAUGUUCACCAUUGUAGCCCCAGUCCCUAUCCCUGGGCCCAGCUCAUGGUAAACAUUGAAAACAUAUUUGCUGAAUGAAUCAAUGAACCAAUGAAUGAGUGAAUGGUCUCUCAGUCUGAUGGCCAUGGUCACUGCUAAUUCUUUCUUGGUCUCAUUGCAGGUGUUUCUAGGACUAUGGGCUUGUAACCUGCUGAGCUAGGUUUCACCUGCAGAUACAAAGAAGCUGGUUCACCUGCAGAUACAGAGAAACUGGGUGGAUGGGAGGGUAGAAUCACAGGGCUGGCAGGCAGUGCCACUGCCAUUGGGAGCUGAGUUAUGACUGUUAGCCAGUGGGCCCCAUUCUCCUUAUGAAGGCCUCUCCACAUAGCUGCUCGGGUUUCCCCACAACGUGGCAUCUGUUUGAAGAAGGAAGACUCCAAGAGGUGAAGAUGGAAACUAUACAUCUCUUAAUGCCUGGCCUCAAAAGUUACACAGUCUGCCAUUUUUCAAAGCCUGUCACAGGCCAGCCCAGAUUCAAUGGGAACAGAAAUAGCCUUCCAUCUCUUGAUGGGUAGAGUGGCAAAGAAUACACAGCCAUUUUCAAUCCACCAUAAGAACAUUUGAAGAAAAAGAUGAAAAUUUCAGGUGGGACAUGUUGAGUUUGAGGUACCUGAGUGACAUCAAUGUAGAGACAUCAAGAAGUAGGCAAGUCAGCGCACAGGUCUGGUGAUCAGAGGAGAGCACUAGCUUUGAUAGACAUUUGGUCACUUGGUAGACAUAAAUAGUAGUUAGAAUUAUGCGUUAUCCAAAGAGUGUGUGAAGAGAGUGAAUGGCAGGAGACAAGAUGCAAGCUUUUAGUACAAUAGAUAUUUAGAGGUCAAGUAGAGAAAAAGUCUUCAUGAAAUGAAGACUAGGAAGCAAGACCUAGAGAAACAGAAAGAAGACAGAAGAGAAAGUGGCCAUAGAAGCCCAGCAGAGAGUUGGAGGAGACACUGUUCAAUAAUUUCAAAUGUCAUAAAGAGGUCAAGUAGGCCAGGUGCAGUGGCUCACGCCUUAAUCUCAGCACUUUGGGAGGCGAAGGCAGGUGGAUCACUUGAGCCCAGGAGUUCCAGACCAGCCUAGGCAACAUGGCGAAAUCCUGUCUCUACAAAAAAUACAAAAUUUAGCCAUGUGUGGUGAUGUGUGCCUAUGGCACUAGCUACUAGGGAGGCUGAGAUGGGAGAAUCACCCGAGCCCCAGUAGGGCAAGGCUACAGUGAGCCGUCAUUGCACCACUGCACUCCAGCCUGGGCGACAGAGUGAGACUCUAUCUAAAUAAAUAAAUAGGUCAAGUAAUAUUAGAAACAUGAAAAUGUCGACUGGUCUUGGCAAUACAGAGGUCUUUGGUGAGCUUAUGAAGGCAUUUCUAAUGUAGGAAUGAGGAUAGAGUUUUAAAUUUUUUGUUCAAGGAUGCAAAUAUUGCUGAAUGAAGCAAAAGAUUUGUUGCCUGGAAUUUAAUAUCUUUACAACUCUUUGUUCUUUUAGAGUCAUUCGGAUUCCUUUCGGUUGCUCAAAUAUAACAUUGUAUCUGCUUCUAAAUUCAUGGGCAACAAUUGUCCUCUUCUGGUUCAAAGGCACAAUAUAAUCCCAGGAAUUUUUUUGGUAUGUGCUUUGAGAUAUAAUGACUCUUUUGACUGGGCUGUUGUGUAUGAUGUUUGCAUGACUUGGGGAUUAUUCAUAGGGUCAACAGAAGGCUACCAAAAUAGCUCAGCUUAAAUCACAACCUUGGGAUAACCCUUGACUUCAGGUCUUCUUAUAACUGCAGAUUUAACACUGUUGCAUUAUCUUUACUGUUACUCUAAUGAAUUUAAAAAUUGAAUACUCUGUUAAAACUGAGGUGGCCGGCCGGGCGCGGUGG